UACGUAUGGUGCGAGCGUUAAUCGGAAUUACUGGGCGUAAAGCGUGCGCAGGCGGUGAUGUAAGACCGAUGUGAAAUCCCCGGGCUUAACCUGGGAACUGCAUUGGUGACUGCAUCGCUGGAGUAUGGCAGAGGGGGGUAGAAUUCCACGUGUAGCAGUGAAAUGCGUAGAGAUGUGGAGGAAUACCGAUGGCGAGGGCAGCCCCCUGGGCCAAUACUGACGCUCAUGCACGAAAGCGUGGGGAUCAAAC
rnacentral:rRNA from 1 species